UACGGAGGGUGCAGGCGUUAUCCGGAUUCACUGGGUUUAAAGGGUGCGUAGGCGGAUUGGUAAGUCCGUGGUGAAAUCUCUAAGCUUAACUUGGAAACUGCCAUGGAUACUAUUAGUCUUGAAUAUUGUGGAGGUUAGCGGAAUAUGUCAUGUAGCGGUGAAAUGCAUAGAUAUGACAUAGAACACCAAUUGCGAAGGCAGCUAGCUACACAAAUAUUGACGCUGAUGCACGAAAGCGUGGGGAUCAAACAGG
rnacentral:rRNA from 1 species